rnacentral:rRNA from 1 species
GACGAACGCUGGCGGCGUGCUUAACACAUGCAAGUCGAACGGAAAGGCCCUGCUUGCAGGGUACUCGAGUGGCGAACGGGUGAGUAACACGUGGGUGAUCUGCCCUGCACUUCGGGAUAAGCCUGGGAAACUGGGUCUAGUACCGGAUAGGAGCCAUUUUUAGUGUGAUGGUUGGAAAGUUUUUUCGGUGUAGGAUGAGCUCGCGGCCUAUCAGCUUGUUGGUGGGGUAAUGGCCUACCAAGGCGGCGACGGGUAGCCGGCCUGAGAGGGUGGACGGCCACAUUGGGACUGAGAUACGGCCCAGACUCCUACGGGAGGCAGCAGUGGGGAAUAUUGCACAAUGGGCGCAAGCCUGAUGCAGCGACGCCGCGUGGGGGAUGACGGCCUUCGGGUUGUAAACUCCUUUCGCUAGGGACGAAGCUUUUUGUGACGGUACCUAGAUAAGAAGCACCGGCUAACUACGUG